rnacentral:rRNA from 1 species
UACGUAGGGUGCAAGCGUUAAUCGGAAUUACUGGGCGUAAAGCGUGCGCAGGCGGUCCGGUAAGACAGGUGUGAAAUCCCCGGGCUUAACCUGGGAACUGCAUUUGUGACUGCAUCGCUGGAGUGCGGCAGAGGGGGAUGGAAUUCCGCGUGUAGCAGUGAAAUGCGUAGAUAUGCGGAGGAACACCGAUGGCGAAGGCAAUCCCCUGGGCCUGCACUGACGCUCAUGCACGAAAGCGUGGGGAGCAAACAGG